UACGUAGGGUGCAAGCGUUAUUCGGAAUUACUGGGCGUAAAGCGUGCGCAGGCGGUUUUGUAAGUCUGUCGUGAAAGCCCCGGGCUUAACCUGGGGAUUGCGAUGGAGACUGCAAGGCUUGAAUCUGGCAGAGGGGGGUAGAAUUCCACGUGUAGCAGUGAAAUGCGUAGAGAUGUGGAGGAACACCGAUGGCGAAGGCAGCCCCCUGGGUCAAGAUUGACGCUCAUGCACGAAAGCGUGGGGAGCAAACAGG
rnacentral:rRNA from 1 species